AUUGAACGCUGGCGGCAGGCUCAACACAUGCAAGUCGAGCGGGGUGAUGGUGCUUGCACUAUCACUUAGCGGCGGACGGGUGAGUAAUGCUUAGGAAUCUGCCUAUUAGUGGGGGACAACAUCUCGAAAGAGAUGCUAAUACCGCAUACGUCCUACGGGAGAAAGCAGGGGAUCACUUGUGACCUUGCGCUAAUAGAUGAGCCUAAGUCGGAUUAGCUAGUUGGUGGGGUAAAGGCCUACCAAGGCGACGAUCUGUAGCGGGUCUGAGAGGAUGAUCCGCCACACUGGGACUGAGACACGGCCCAGACUCCUACGGGAGGCAGCAGUGGGGAAUAUUGGACAAUGGGGGGAACCCUGAUCCAGCCAUGCCGCGUGUGUGAAGAAGGCCUUAUGGCUGUAAAGCACUUUAAGCGAGGAGGAGGCUCUUUUGGUUAAUACCCAAGAUGAGUGGACGUUACUCGCAGAAUAAGCACCGGCUAACUCUGUGCCAGCCGCCGCCGUAA
rnacentral:rRNA from 1 species